GAUGAACGCUGGCGGCGUGCCUAAUACAUGCAAGUCGAGCGAACGGACGAGAAGCUUGCUUCUCUGAUGUUAGCGGCGGACGGGUGAGUAACACGUGGAUAACCUACCUAUAAGACUGGGAUAACUUCGGGAAACCGGAGCUAAUACCGGAUAAUAUUUUGAACCGCAUGGUUCAAAAGUGAAAGACGGUCUUGCUGUCACUUAUAGAUGGAUCCGCGCCGCAUUAGCUAGUUGGUAAGGUAACGGCUUACCAAGGCAACGAUGCAUAGCCGACCUGAGAGGGUGAUCGGCCACACUGGAACUGAGACACGGUCCAGACUCCUACGGGAGGCAGCAGUAGGGAAUCUUCCGCAAUGGGCGAAAGCCUGACGGAGCAACGCCGCGUGAGUGAUGAAGGUCUUCGGAUCGUAAAACUCUGUUAUUAGGGAAGAACAUAUGUGUAAGUAACUGUGCACAUCUUGACGGUACCUAAUCAGAAAGCCACGGCUAACUACGUGCCAGCAGCCGCGGUAAUACGUANGUGGNCAGCGUUAUCCNGAAUAUAUGGGCGUAAAGCGCGCGUAGGCGGUUUUUUAGUCUGAUGUGAAAGCCCACGGCUCACCGUGGAGGGUCAUUGGAAACUGGAAAACUUGAGUGCAGAAGAGGAAAGUGGAAUUCCAUGUGUAGCGGUGAAAUGCGCAGAGAUAUGGAGGAACACCAGUGGCGAAGGCGACUUUCUGGUCUGUAACUGACGCUGAUGUGCGAAAGCGUGGGGAUCAAACAGGAUUAGAUACCCUGGUAGUCCACGCCGUAAACGAUGAGUGCUAAGUGUUAGGGGGUUUCCGCCCCUUAGUGCUGCAGCUAACGCAUUAAGCACUCCGCCUGGGGAGUACGACCGCAAGGUUGAAACUCAAAGGAAUUGACGGGGACCCGCACAAGCGGUGGAGCAUGUGGUUUAAUUCGAAGCAACGCGAAGAACCUUACCAAAUCUUGACAUCCUUUGACAACUCUAGAGAUAGAGCCUUCCCCUUCGGGGGACAAAGUGACAGGUGGUGCAUGGUUGUCGUCAGCUCGUGUCGUGAGAUGUUGGGUUAAGUCCCGCAACGAGCGCAACCCUUAAGCUUAGUUGCCAUCAUUAAGUUGGGCACUCUAAGUUGACUGCCGGUGACAAACCGGAGGAAGGUGGGGAUGACGUCAAAUCAUCAUGCCCCUUAUGAUUUGGGCUACACACGUGCUACAAUGGACAAUACAAAGGGCAGCGAAACCGCGAGGUCAAGCAAAUCCCAUAAAGUUGUUCUCAGUUCGGAUUGUAGUCUGCAACUCGACUACAUGAAGCUGGAAUCGCUAGUAAUCGUAGAUCAGCAUGCUACGGUGAAUACGUUCCCGGGUCU
rnacentral:rRNA from 1 species